AUUGAACGCUGGCGGCAUGCUUUACACAUGCAAGUUGAACGGCAGCGCGGGGGCAACCCUGGCGGCGAGUGGCGAACGGGUGAGUAAUGCAUCGGAACGUAUCCUGUAAUGGGGGAUAACGUAGCGAAAGUUACGCUAAUACCGCAUACGCUCGAGAGAGGAAAGUGGGGAUCGCAAGACCUCACGUUAUAGGAGCGGCCGAUGUCCGAUUGGCUAGUUGGUGGGGUAAAGGCCUACCAAGGCGACGAUCGGUAGCUGGUCUGAGAGGAUGAUCAGCCACACUGGGACUGAGACACGGCCCAGACUCCUACGGGAGGCAGCAGUGGGGAAUUUUGGACAAUGGGCGAAAGCCUGAUCCAGCCAUGCCGCGUGCGGGAAGAAGGCCU
rnacentral:rRNA from 1 species